GGGCGGGACUCCGGCAGCGCACGGCCCGAGCUCCUUCGGCACGCGGAGGAGUCCCGGGGACAGCGCGCGGCCCUGCGGCCCCGGCCGGGGUUGUGGCGGCUCCGCUCCCGGGUAACAGCGAGAGAACGGAGCGCUGGCCUCGCGCUGAGCGCCAGCUUGGCUAUCAUGAACUAUUCCUUCUCCAAGAGCGAGGUGCUCGCACGGCUGCCCAGGGAGGGGGGAAGCGCCGUGCCUGGAGAUGUUACCUGCACACCAUACUGCUAAAACGCCUCAGCGUGAGCCACUGUUGGUCCUGUAUCUACAUAAAGUAUACACAUAUAGAAUCACGAGGUUGGAAAAGAGCUCUGAGAUCAUCCACCCCAACCAUCCACCUGCCACCAGCACUGCCAAGUCCCUCUGUGCCGCUGCUCUCCAGCACCUCCAGGCAUGCUGACUGCACCGCCUUCCCCAGCGACUCACAUCCUCCUCCUGCUGUCAGCAUCUUUCCUGUGUUUCUGAAGGAAUGGAGGAGUAUAAAACAUGUUCUUCAAAGUAUUAGGCAACUAAAGGAAAAACAAAUUCCACAAAAGACAACCAGUCGGUUCCAUUUUGUUUAAUGUUGUACAAAAAAAAUUGAAAAUCCUCACCUGACAGGACAAGGACACUUGAGAAAACAUUUUGAAUUCCACACUACAUUCAGCCAAACUGAGUGCCAUAUGACCAACGGGAAGAACAAAAUGCAGUGACACUACCUGACAGCAAUCACUUCGAUAGAGUUAUUAUGUUGGGAAAACUGGCUCAAAAACAAGUCCUCAUCCUCACGCUGUGCUCAGCAACGUAUCCUGCUGCACAUCUGAAGCCAGCCCAAAAGUAAAACUGCACAUGAACGCAGGACUUGGGGGGAAGAACAGACCACUGCGUCACACUCUCACGAGGAGGAUAAAUGAGAGCUUACUGUUUUAC